GACGAACGCUGGCGGCGUGCUUAACACAUGCAAGUCGAACGGUAAGACCCUGCUGGGUACACGAGUGGCGAACGGGUGAGUAACACGUGGGUGAUAUGCCCUGCAUUUCGGGAUAAGCCUGGGAAACUGGGUCUACUACUGCUGAGGACCACCGCAUGCAUGAGUUGGGGUGGAAUGCUUUUGCGGUGUAGGAUGGGCCCGCGGCCUAUCAGCUUGUUGGUGUGGGGCUGGCCUAACAAGGCGACGACGGGUAGCCGGCCUGAGAGGGUGACCGGCCACAGUGGGACUGAGAUACGACCCAGACUCCUACGGGAGGCGGCAGUGGGGAAUAUUGCACGAUGGGCGCAAGCCUGAUGCAGCGACGCCGCGUGAGGGAUGACGGCCUUCGGGUUGUAAACCUCUUUCAGCACCGACGAAGCGCAAGUGACGGUAGGUGCAGAAGAAGGACCGGCCAACUACGUGCCAGCCGCCGCAGUAAGAC
rnacentral:rRNA from 1 species